rnacentral:tRNA from 1 species
GGACCUGUGGUGUAAUGGUAACACGUUACGUCCCAACUUGAAAAAGAGUGGUUCGAUUCCCUCCCGGUCCA